GAUGAACGCUGGCGGCGUGCCUAAUACAUGCAAGUCGAGCGAACAGACGAGGAGCUUGCUCCUCUGACGUUAGCGGCGGACGGGUGAGUAACACGUGGAUAACCUACCUAUAAGACUGGGAUAACUUCGGGAAACCGGAGCUAAUACCGGAUAAUAUAUUGAACCGCAUGGUUCAAUAGUGAAAGACGGUUUUGCUGUCACUUAUAGAUGGAUCCGCGCCGCAUUAGCUAGUUGGUAAGGUAACGGCUUACCAAGGCGACGAUGCGUAGCCGACCUGAGAGGGUGAUCGGCCACACUGGAACGGAGACACGGUCCAGCCUCCUACGGGAGGCAGCAGUAGGGAUUCUUCAGAAAUGGGCGAAAGCUUGACGGAGCAACGCGGCGUGAGUGAUGAAGGUCUUCGGAUCGUAAAACCCUGUUAUUAGGGAAGAACAAAGGUGUAAGUAACUAUGCAGGUCUUGACGGUACCUAAGCAGAAAGCCACGGCUAACUACGU
rnacentral:rRNA from 1 species